GACGAACGCUUGCGACGUGCCUGAGAAAUGCAAGUCGAGCGGUAGGUAGCCUUUCGGGGUUUCCUAUAGCGGCGAACGGUCGAGUAACACGUAACCGACCUGCCCAUCGGUCUGGGAUAGCCCUUCGAAAGGGGGAGUAAUACCGGAUAGUUUCUACUUUGUUGCAUGCAUGAGUGAAUAAAAGCUUUAGUUGCCGAUGGAGGGGGUUGCGUCCUAUCAGCUGGUUGGCGGGGUAACGGCCCACCAAGGCGACGACGGGUAGCUGGUCUGAGAGGAUGGUCAGCCGGAUUGGGACUGAGACACGGCCCAAACUCCUACGGGGGGCGAGCAAUCA
rnacentral:rRNA from 1 species